rnacentral:lncRNA from 1 species
GCCAUAUUAAAAUUGGAUACUACAGACAUGGCUAGAUUUCUCAAAACACAGUAAUUCUGAAUAAAAGAGACAGACACUCAUAAUCUAGCCUUGCUGGGUUAGCAAUUUGCAUAAUUUAUUUUUCUGAAUUGGAAAGGUGAGUGUUACUUCUUGAAAUAUUCCUUUGUAUGCAUUUGGAAUGUCUAGUGCUUACACUGCUUACUCUUUGGGGAUCGUCAUGAGCUAGAAUCAAGCUCUAAACCCCUUUUCUGCAUAGUGGCAUAUAGGGAACUACAUAGAUAAAUUCUUGUUCUAGAAUAUAUAUGACAAACAUGAGGCGACGUUAGCUUCUUUAAAGGAGCCUUAGAUCUAGGAUGAUUUUUAGUUCCUAAGAUGCCUCCAGGGCUUCUCCCAGCUUAGAGUGUGGGGAACUUGCACGUUUUCCUGUAGCAUGUUUAAAGUGCCUGCUACUUUCGACCAACAAUAAGAGCUCCUUUUAUGUCAGGCCUAGCUGGGUUUUCUGUGCUGGCAAGCGAGGUCUAACAUGGAAUAUCCAGAAAUCACACUGCAGUUCCACCAUUCUUGAUGUCCUCCCAGCCUGUCAACCAUUGCUGCAGUUACGGACACCUGGAAAAAUUGAGGCUUGUGCUCACCAUCCGAGCAUCUCUGGAAAAUGA